UUUUCUGGAGAGAAAAUGAAGGGAAGCUCCCUUCCAUGCUCCCUGGCCAUUUGGAAAUCCAGAAAGCACCGAGUCAAGGCUUCCUGCUGCAUUGUCUGCCUUUUUCAUUGUAUCAGUGUUUGUUUACCAUGGGUGCUCUUUGUGCUCCAUUUAGAAAAUCCUUGAUGAGGCUGGCAUGGUGGCUCACUCCUGUAAUUCCAGCACAUUGGGAGGCCAAGGUAGGUCUAUAGUACACUGGAAUGGAGUUUUGCAUAUUGUGUGGAGUGCAGACCCAGUUUUGCACACGUAGAAAUCCUAUUGACCUAGCACAUCAAUUUGGAAGAAGGACCAACUGCGUUGUACUACAGGAUCGCUUUUGUGAAGGAUCAGGUGGUUUUGAUGCUGGUUGUGGUAACAACGUGCUGCAAUGUGCUGUCUCCUAUGGGCUGGAAUGGAAGAGGCCUCAUGAAACAUCUUGCUCCCCAGUGACAACCGCUGGGCGAGAAGCGUCCGUAACUGUUCCUCUGGUCUCCCUCUCUGGACUGCAGGCUCCUCAGUGUCAGCACAGGGCAGCAGCAGCCCCUGCUGUGCACACACAUCUGCUCUGCCCUGGAUGCCCUGCAGGGUGAGUCCUUGUCCUGCCAACUACCAGCUCCGCAGCUGGAAAGUCUCUUACAUUCCUGAGGCUUUAGUUUUCUCCUCUCGAAAACAGCAGUGCCUCCAUCACACACUCAUUGAAAGCCCUUAUCAACCCUGGAGGAAGUUCACAGUUUCUAGAAUUUAUAUCCUAAUUUAUGUUAUUUUUCCUUUUAAAAGUUCAAACAAAAGGAACAUAUCUCCAAAUUACAGCUUCAGUGAGAAAGUAGAAGGAGAGCUUAUUGGCCUUUGAAACAGCCCUGACACUGAACAAUGGUAACAGGGUAGAUUAUCAAGACUUCACUGUCUCUAACCCGAGGCCAGACCACACCUCCCUGCUAUGCUUGCAUCUAUCACUUCUGUGGCCUGCAUCCCAAUUUGAAUGCAUGGCAAAUUAGCCUGUGAUUUCAAUUUUUUUCACUUACUUCACCAUGAGCCAGUGCUAAGAAGGUACAAUUUGGAUAAUGACAGGGUGCCCUUCUGCUCUGCCCAAUUCUUAGAUUCCACAGAGCUGUGGGCCCCCAACCCAGGCACAAGAGCCGCCUCUUCCACCAAGCCUGAGCUACAUAGAGAGAAGUUGCUAGGGUCCUCGGGACAGAAUCCCUGUCUUCCCCUGAUGCCACAUGUCACGUGUGGUUAUGUCAAGGUCCUGGCACUCAACAGUGACUCUCCAGGAUGUUCUAGAAUAUAUGCCUGAUCAUCUGCCCCAUCUUCAGCUCACGCUGGGCCUGGCCUUGUCAUAGUGAACCAGACAAACCUCAUUCCUACCUUUGCAGUGUGUAUAGUCCAGUGCGGGAGAGGUGUUUUUUGUUUUUUGAGAUGGGGUCUCCUUAUGUUGCCCAUGCUGGUCUCAAACUCCAGAGCUGAAGCAAUCCUCCUGCCUUGGCCUUCCAAAGUGCUGGGAUUACAGGUAUGAGCCAAUGCUUCUGGCUGAGGGGCAUUAAUUUAAAAAUACACCCAUAACUGUGAAAUUAAACUGGGAAAAGAGCUGCA
rnacentral:lncRNA from 13 species